rnacentral:lncRNA from 1 species
CUCUAAGAACAAUCAUCCUGCGAAUCUGAACGAAGUUAGGAUCACGAUCAACUCUUUGAUCCUUCCUUGAUCUUUUUCUUUUCUUCUUUUCUUGCUCUCCUUCUCUUGAUUAUGAAGCAAUCAAGGUCUGAAAAUCAGCAACUAAAGGUGCCGCCCAACUCCUUUGGGUGUUGGAAGAUGGAGGACGUCCAACCUAGUUGAAUGUUGGAACCA